CUUGGAUCUGAAAAAAAUGUUGCUUUUUAAAUUUAAAUGAGAGGGAUCAGUCCCAUCCCACAUUUUCCUCUGGGAUGAUAUUCCCUAUAGUUUGCUGGCUCUUGAGUGGGCUAAGGGUCUCAGCCUCCUUCACAGCUGUCCCAGGCAGGGCAUGGGGAAGGGCCCGUGUCCCGUGGGUGCUGGAGGAGGUGGUGGGUGGCGGGACCCCUGGGCACAGACCCCCCUGGUCACAGAGCCCCUGCGCCACCACCACACUCGCUCUUGGGCUGGGGCUGUUGGAAGGUGACGCUGCAAAGGCCGCGAUGACAAAGCUUCUGCCCCAAGCCCUGGCACUGCUGGGGAACUGUGUGGCCCAGAAUUGUGGGUCUGGGCUGGGGAAAGGCAACGGCUGAGGAUCAUCAGCCCCAUCCCAGCCCAGCUGAGCUGUUCCUGCAGAACAGCCCUCAUGGCCCUGUGGCAGCUCCGAGUCAGUUUUCUCUUCCCAGCAGUGUAGAUGGCUCCAACCCCAUGCCAAGGGCUGUUCUCCAGGUACACAGUUCAAGGCAGAAGCGUGCUGCUUUGGGGACAGAGUGUGUUGGCUGGGCAGGCUGGAGGAGGCAGGAGGAGGCUGGGCAUGAGUGCUCGCAUAUAUUAGCUGAGCUGAGCUGAUGUCUGUUACCACGUUAGCUCUAGAAUUACUCUGAAGCCCAGGAAGACUCAGGUCCCUUGGGAAGUGAGCAUGGAACUUUUCCACACUGUUGGAUCAAGUUCCCGUCCCAAACUCCGAACCAGCGUGAGGUGGAGGGGGGCACAGGUUGGGUUUUGCCCCAUUCCCAGGUUGCGCAGGAGCAGUGCUGAUUCCAAGCCGCCGUGGCAGCACGAGCCGCACCCCGUUGUGCCGUCCCGGCCCCGCGCCUCGCCGCGACCCGAGUCGCAGCUGAUGUCGCGUUCCGAGCGCCACUCGCGGAACCUGCGGCGCGACCGGCCUCGCCUCCCCGUCCCCGCAAGCGCCAUUACGCAGUGCUGCCGCUGCAGCAUCGGUUUCGCCUCCGGAGCACUCCGAGGAGGACCCAGAAUUUACAGAUAAGCAAAAGACUCCUGACUUUCAGAACACGUGGUCGCGAGUGCGGGGGCGAAGGGCGCGCGGUAAACGUGGUAGCUUUGGAGGUUUUUCCGGGUCUGUUUUCGUCUGACCGGGAUCUGCGCGGGGGGAACGCAGCCGCCGCCGGACUCGGGGGAGCUUCUGCGCCGGAGGCGACCUGAUGGAGGAGAAGAAAAAGGAGGACACAGCUCCCCGGGAGCCCUAGUCGAGCUGCGGCAGCUCAGACUGGGCAGGAUGGGACGGCUGACAGAGGGACGGGAGGUUUUAGAUUCUUCAGCGGGGGGUGGGGGGACGCGGUUGGCAUGGUUGCCGCUACUAUUCCAAUGUGAAGACGAGAAAGUCCGGAGAGCGCAGGGGACGCGAGCCGAGACUGCUAGCGAGGUCAGGAUUAUCGGUGCUGGGAAGGGCAUAUAUUAACUGCACUAUCGACGCUGGCAGCGCUCUGUUUCGUGCUGCGGGAGUUCCGACUGGGAAAUUGCGAACAGCUCGCCAGCACAGUCAGCGCGGCUAGCAACGCAGAGGUAACGCUGCGAGAAACAGCGACCACGCAGCUAUGGGCCGCUAAAUGUAGCCCUUUGAGUCACAAAAAAGCGGCUUUGCUAAUGGGCAGGUCAUCUGUUACUUUAAAAAGUGCUUUUUUGUUGCCAGGGGGAAUGGAUGCAGAUUUGGGGGGGGGAGGGGGCGAGUCAGAUGUUUGCCCCUCACGAUUUCAAAACACUAUUUCGUUUAAUAAUGACCGAUAUGCAGUACACAAUGUGGGGAUCGAGGCAGAAUCAAUUAGCAAAGAAACAAGCGAUUGCAAAUUCGGCUGCAGAAACACGUAACGCUUUGCAAACCGUUACUGCGGAUGCUUUGAUGAGGCAAGGUAAACAAGUCUCUGACACGGUGCAAGCCCGGAGGACGUGCCGCGCUGGGCUGCAGCAAAUAACAGAUAGCAGUGCACAUCUCCAAUUCUGUUCCGGACACAAACACGCAGAGAAUGCCCUUUACCCAUAUUAAACAGCAAAAAUGGGAGGCAAAAACAAACAUAUCAAACAUUUUUAACAGCAGAACAGACGUCUCUGCCUCACAAUGACCCUUAAAAAACACUCAAACCUGUUUAGCAAAUAUUCCUAUACUGACGUCGCCGAAGCAGAGACAUCAUAGCCAUCAACAGCCCAGGUAUUAACUCUGUUUCCAUUAGUCCCACCGAAAUCACUCAUUCUGUAGAGCAGAGACUGCUUCAGUCAGGGGGAGAAUCAGUUAACAGAAGAUUUUUCCUAAAAGCUACUCUUUUGGCAGCUAAAUCCACAGGUAACCCAAGAAACAAAUAGCCCUAUAUGGAUGAAACAAUGGCUACUCCAUUUACAGCCAUUAGUGGAGGAACAACUAAAUACAGCCUCUCUUGUUAGCAGAAAGCCCUUCACGAAACUAUCCAUCUCUCGAGUCUGGGGGAAAAUGGAUUUUCGUGGUUUUUACCCCUGUCUCAGAGUGGGGGAAAACUUUCAAAAACCAGGAUUUUACAAUUUUCUAGUGUGAUAUAUAAAUAAUUGUGAUUCGUGAAACAAAUGGGUGAUUAUAUCAAAAUAAAACAAACAGAUUGUAAAACUUAAUUACACCCCCAUAAAGAAAUAAAACAGACCCUCACAAGGUCAAGAGGUCUAAAACCUCCCUACUCUCCUAAGAAUAAAAUAUAGUAGAACUUUAAAUCUUUAGGCGCCUGUUCGUCCAAGGAUGCGUGAAUUAUGACUGGUUGUAGAGAUAACCCUUUUAGCUUUAGCUGUAAGAAAACCCAUAUAUUAAAUACUUAGCAAAAACCUGUAGAAUGUAUAUGUAUAUGAUAUAAUUAAUAUGCAUGAAGUAGCUAAGAUAAAUACUAAAUGUACCCUGUAGUAGGUGUGCAGAUUUGGGAAACUGGUCCCAUUUCCGUCACCCAGCCGGCUGCUUGCUUUUACCAUAUAACAAACUAUUAUUCGAAACUUAUAGAAACUCGAGACUUUGUUUAUCACACUAGGUUAAAGAAAAAGGUAAAAAAAACCCUCUUGCAAAACUUCUGCCUUUGCAAGAGAAAAGAUAUUACUACUUACGUAAUAGCAGUCAUUUGUUGCUUGGCAACUGGAUUGAGACAGAUCCUAUCCCGAGGUAGAAAAACGAAAAACUUUCCUACUUAUUUUUUGGUUAAGUUUUCCUGCCUACAGAAUAUGGGGGAGGGAAAUUUUCUUUGUUAUCUAAAACCCUUAAAGUUGCUUUUUGAGUUUAUCUCCGCAAGACCAGAACACUGGGCGCCUGCCUGAGCAAGCAAUGACAAGCUCCAUUCAGUGAAAAUGAAGAAAAUUGUUUUCUGAUUCCUGUGACAUCCACGAAUGAGAACUCUCACAACAAAAGAACAUGCUGAACAGUGAGGUCGGGUGAAGCAACAACGAGAUUGGAGACUGUGGAGCGGGGAAAAAACCAGACCUUGCAGAGAACGGAACAGCUCAUUACAGAAGUUCCCAGGUGUAUUCAUUGUUCCUGCAGAAACUCCUGGACUUUUUGCAAAUGUUUUUUAGAUUGUGACCUUUUGAUUUGCUGGGAUUGUGCUCGGGUUUGGAUCCACUCUGCUGCUUAGACCUGUCUGUUCCUGCAGUUGCCCAGAACCAACUUCUAUAAUCCAACAACAGUUUUGCUUCUGA